GAUAAGCCACCAAGACCAGCACAGGUACUAGCUGUGGGAGAAGUGAUUCCAGGAUAGAAGAGGACAAUCAAUUAUUACAGAUGUAGCCCCAAGCCCAACUGUAUCAGUGAGAGAGUUUUCUCCAUUAAUUUUCUUCUAGGAAGCUUACUCCAGGAAAGAAAUCCCUCAGAGUCCUGAAGAUACAGCUUUUGGAACUUAGGUGAAGAAAGAAGGCUCAAGACACAAACUUUGUUUAAAUCAGUAUUAACAUCAAUCACAUCACCAUCAAGAAGGCUGUAAUUUUGAUUGUUUGUCCAACAGUUGGGCCACGUUUUCCUGUUUUUCAUUUCUCUUCUUAUAUCUCAGUCUAUGCCAGGGGAGAAACUGGCUGAAGUUAAGGGCUAAUGUCAAGUACUAACUGAACAACAGAUGGAUGGCCUCAAUAAUGUUAUAUCCUGGUUGAAAUUAUUACCCAAUUUUUUUGGCAGACCUGAGAUCUAUGUAUCUCCAUUUAACAAGUGUAUGUAGACCAUUUCCUUAAAAGCAAAUUCCUAUAAAAUAUAUAUCAGAAAACAAUAGGUGUAAUUAAUAUAACUUUUUAAAUGCUUAAUAAAAUUUACCAGUAUACUAUCAUUUUCUUGAGAGAAGGUUCUUAAUCAUGAAUUUUUUUUACUUAAUGACAUUAUUUAAUUUUUUCUUUUCUUUUUGUUAAUUUGAUUUGUUAUGGCUUCUCAAAAAAAAGUUUGUCCUUUUCAUCUAAUUUGUUCAAUUUAUUUUCAUGAAAUUGGUCACAUACUUAAUGCUUCAUUCCUUUUUAUAUAACCAAAUUUCCAUCUGGUACCAUUUACUCUGAGCCAAAUGAGCUUCCUGUAUCAUUUCCUGUAGUACAUAUCUGCCAAUUGACACUUUUCUAGGUUGACAAGUUAUAUAAUUGCCUUUCAUUUAGUUUAAAGAUGUUGUUCCAUUGUCUUCUGAUUUUCAUUGUUUCUGAUGAGAGGUCAGCCUUCUUUCUUACUAUUGGUCCCCUGCAUUUAAUAUGUAAUAUGUCUUUUUUUCUCUUGCUUUUCAAAUGUCCUAUUUAAUUCUGAUUUUCAGUAGUUUAAUAUAAUGUCUGUUGCUUGGUAUUUGCUUAGAUUCCUGUAAUUAUGUAUGGGUUUUUAAAUAAAGUUUUGAAAUUUUUUAACCAU